rnacentral:rRNA from 1 species
CCUACGGGUGGCAGCAGUGAGGAAUAUUGGUCAAUGGGCGAAAGCCUGAACCAGCCAAGUAGCGUGCAGGAUGACGGCCCUAUGGGUUGUAAACUUCUUUUAUAUGGGAAUAACAUGUUCUCCGUGUGGGGUUUUGCAUGUACCAUAUGAAUAAGGAUCGGCUAACUCCGUGCCAGCAGCCGCGGUAAUACGGAGGCUCCGGGCGUUAUCCGGAUUUAUUGGGUUUAAAGGGAGCGUAGGUCGCUUGUCAAGUGAGUUGUGAAAUGUUGCGGCUCAACCGUAACCUUGCAGUGGAAACUGGCAGUCUUGAGUACACUAGAGGUGGGCGGAAUUCGUGGUGUAGCGGUGAAAUGCUUAGAUAUCACGAAGAACUCCGAUUGCGAAGGCAGCUCACUGGACUGGAACUGACGCUGAGGCUCGAAAGUGUGGGUAUCAAACAGGAUUAGAUACCCUAGUAGUC